GACGAACGCUGGCGACGUGCUUAACACAUGCAAGUCGAACGGAAAGGCCCUGCUUUUGUGGGGUGCUCGGGUGGCGAACGGGUGAGUAACACGUGAGUAACCUGCCCUUGACUUUGGGAUAACUUCAGGAAACUGGGGCUAAUACCGGAUAGGAGCUCCUGCUGCAUGGUGGGGGUUGGAAAGUUUCGGCGGUUGGGGAUGGACUCGCGGCUUAUCAGCUUGUUGGUGGGGUAGUGGCUUACCAAGGCUUUGACGGGUAGCCGGCCUGAGAGGGUGACCGGCCACAUUGGGACUGAGAUACGGCCCAGACUCCUACGGGAGGCAGCAGUGGGGAAUAUUGCACAAUGGGCGGAAGCCUGAUGCAGCAACGCCGCGUGCGGGAUGACGGCCUUCGGGUUGUAAACCGCUUUCGCCUGUGACGAAGCGUGAGUGACGGUAAUGGGUAAAGAAGCACCGGCUAACUACGUG
rnacentral:rRNA from 1 species